rnacentral:misc_RNA from 1 species
GUAUUAAAAUUCGCCUUGUGGCAGAUAAACAUUCAUUGUUUCAAUCCAAGGGGGUUUUAUAAGUUCCAAAGGCCCUCCCUUUGAAAAAAAUCAAGUGCACAGGUGUAAAUAAAAUCAGAAGAGUGAGCACAUGCAGUUAAAAACUGCCAGCAUCAACCCUCCCUUGUAAAUCCAUUAAUGAUCCUUCCGCAGGUUCACCUACGGAAA